UCUGGUGCGUAAGGUAGCGGAUGGAUGCCUCCUCGAGCUCGUGCCGCCGGUGGUGAGCCCGACGUGUUGGUGCUACGAGGGCGAGGUGGAGGCGGCGCGCUCUGAAAGAAGAAGCAGGAGACUGCCGCAGCCGACGAGCUGUCAACUUGACUCCAUGGACGAAAUCGGAGGCGUGCAUGGUGAUUUAAUUUCCUGAUCGAGUUGUCUUGUCUAGGUGUGUCUCUGAUGGAGUCGAAUCCUCCACGGGAUACGCGAGCAGAAUUUUUACCGAGGUAUUGUACGAAGUAGUACCAGCUGCUGCUCCAGACGUUUGUAACCAAUAACUGUCGAAAAUAAAAAAAAACUAGUAUCACUUGCCUUUCUUAACCAAGCGACGAUCGAGAAUCCUCUCUGGCUCCGCAUUGACAAUGUCCAGUUCGACGGACGACGGCAGGUAAGAGAACACGGGAGUAAAAGCACCGCACUGUUUGACAAAAUUCUCCACGUCGACCUUCAUAGCAACCCAGCUAAGCAGCUUCUUGAGGCGUUUGUAAGUGCCCAAAACCCCAGAAUGUCCGCCUACUGC
rnacentral:lncRNA from 1 species